ensembl:lncRNA
GUGGUCUCGUAGGGGGUAACGGUGGUGUCGUAGGGAGUAACGGUCGUCUCGUAGGGGGUAACUGUGAUCUCGUGUAUGUGCAGAUGACCGUAAGCUGUAACUUACCUAAGGGCUUGCCUUGUUGGCGUUUUUACUACAGCAAACUACACUUCAUUAUCCCAAUAAAACGGUAUCCAUAAGAGUAUACACAAUAAACAACUUGCGAUUAGGCCAAAGCGGCUUCAACUCGACUUCAGCAUCCGACUUGUUUACUAACAAUGACGUAGUAUUGUUACGUGCUAAUACUUGAUUCCCAAAGAUGAUUGUCUCAAGGUUAAUCGGCAAAAUAUAAAAACACAGAGCGUUAAUAUAAUAAAUAUUACACAAAAUGUUCAACAACAUGUUUAAAGUACAUAUUUUCAAGGCAAUUUUCGAGUUUCGAGUAAUGCAAGUGAAAGAGGCCUAUCUUUGUCGGACAUAUGAUCAUUUGAGAUUCGGAAAAGGCCCUUCCUAUUGGCCUCAUCGCAGUGGCCGCCAACGUGACCUUGCUCCACCAACAUGAACAAACAUCGGAGACACUGCUUCGAAGAGAUGAUUCUACAUUUGGCUCAUCAGAGGUCUCUGCACAGGAUGAGCACACAGGCUACAGUAUAGCCUUCAAACAAAGGCCUCAGCCCAAUCGAACUGACAGAGGCAGACUCAAUAUCCAAGGAAACUGCUGGGAACAUUGUGCGUUGUAGCGAGAGCAUAUUCAGAGAACGUUAUGGUGUCUCUCGCGCCUCACCCUGCAAAUAUCUCUGGAUUUGUUAUUUAAAAACUUGAGGCGGACAUUUGGUUAAUGGUUGGGCUGGGGGAGAUUGCUGAACAACGAUCACAGAAGCAUCUUCUAGGGCCAUUUUCAAGAACCCUGAACAUCCAGGACUUCCAUUGAUUCUGAAUGUGGAUGGCCAUUCCGCCAUUGAAUUUUUGACUUUGCUGUCCAGGGAAAACUUUGAAACUGCUCUUAAACACUUCAUCGGUAUCUUAGACCGAUUGCAUUGAUUGUG